rnacentral:rRNA from 1 species
GAUGAACGCUGGCGGCGUGCCUAAUACAUGCAAGUCGAGCGAACAGACGAGGAUCUUGCUCCUCUGACGUUAGCGGCGGACGGGUGAAUAACACGUGUAUAACCUACCUAUAAGACGGGGAUAACUUCGGGAAAGCGGAUAUAAUAGCGGAGAAGAUAUUGAAGCGCGGUGGUCAAUAGUGAGAUACGGUGGUUCGGUCACUAAUAGAGGGAUACGCGCCGCAUUAGCUAGUUGGUAGGGUAACGGCCUACCAAGGCAACGAUGCGUAGACGAGCUGUGAGGGGGAUCGGCGACACUGGAGCGUGACCACGGUCCAGGCUCCUAAGGGAGGCCCCAGUAGGGAACCUUAGGCAACGGGCGAAAGCCUGGCGGAGCAGCGCCGCGUGAGUGAUGACGGUCUUCCGAUCGUAAAACUCUGUUAUUAGUGAAGAACCGCUGUGUACGUAGCUAUGCACGUCUUGACGGUACCUAAUCAGAAAGCACCGGCUAACUACGUG